rnacentral:rRNA from 1 species
GUGGGGAAUAUUGGACAAUGGGCGCAAGCCUGAUCCAGCCAUACCGCGUGGGUGAAGAAGGCCUUCGGGUUGUAAAGCCCUUUUGUUGGGAAAGAAAUCCUGUCGGUUAAUACCUGGCGGGGAUGACGGUACCCAAAGAAUAAGCACCGGCUAACUUCGUGCCAGCAGCCGCGGUAAUACGAAGGGUGCAAGCGUUACUCGGAAUUACUGGGCGUAAAGCGUGCGUAGGUGGUGGUUUAAGUCCGUUGUGAAAGCCCUGGGCUCAACCUGGGAAUUGCAGUGGAUACUGGAUCACUAGAGUGUGGUAGAGGGAUGCGGAAUUUCUGGUGUAGCAGUGUAAUGCGUAGAGAUCAGAAGGAACAUUCGUGGCGAAGGCGGCAUCCUGGGCCAACACUGACACUGAGGCACGAAAGCGUGGGGAGCAAACAGGAUUAGAAACCCGAGUAGUCC